rnacentral:rRNA from 1 species
UACAGAGGGUGCGAGCGUUGUUCGGAAUUAUUGGGCGUAAAGGGCGCGUAGGCGGUGCGGUAAGUCACCUGUGAAAUCCCCAGGCUCAACCUGGGAACUGCGUCCGAUACUGGCAGGCUUGAAUCCGGGAGAGGGAUGUGGAAUUCCAGGUGUAGCGGUGAAAUGCGCAGAUAUCAGGAGGAACACCGGUGGCGAAGGCGGGUCUCUGGGCCGAUACUGACGCUGAGGAGCGAAAGCGUGGGGAGCAAACAGG